rnacentral:tRNA from 1 species
GUGGGUAUAGCUCAGUGGUAGAGUGCAUGCUUAGCAUGCAUGAGGUCCUGGGUUCAACCCCCAGUACCUCA